rnacentral:tRNA from 6 species
CGGGGUGUAGCGCAGUGGCUUAGCGCGUCUGCUUUGGGAGCAGAAAGUCGAGGGUUCGAUCCCCUCCACCCCGACCA